rnacentral:rRNA from 1 species
CCUACGGGAGGCAGCAGUGGGGAAUCUUGCGCAAUGGGCGAAAGCCUGACGCAGCCAUGCCGCGUGAAUGAUGAAGGUCUUAGGAUUGUAAAAUUCUUUCACCGGGGACGAUAAUGACGGUACCCGGAGAAGAAGCCCCGGCUAACUUCGUGCCAGCAGCCGCGGUAAUACGAAGGGGGCUAGCGUUGCUCGGAAUUACUGGGCGUAAAGGGAGCGUAGGCGGAUAGUUUAGUCAGAGGUGAAAGCCCAGGGCUCAACCUUGGAAUUGCCUUUGAUACUGGCUAUCUUGAGUGUGGGAGAGGUAUGUGGAACUCCGAGUGUAGAGGUGAAAUUCGUAGAUAUUCGGAAGAACACCAGUGGCGAAGGCGACAUACUGGCCCAUUACUGACGCUGAGGCUCGAAAGCGUGGGGAGCAAACAGGAUUAGAUACCCUGGUAGUCCACGCUGUAAACGAUGAGUGCUAGUUGUCGGCAUGCAUGCAUGUCGGUUGACGCAGCUAACGCAUUAAGCACUCCGCCUGGGGAGUACGGUCGCAAGAUUAAAACUCAAAUGAAUUGACGG